UGCCGUGAUGUCGUAAUUUGCGUCUUACUCUGUGCUCGGUGACAGUUGCCUGCUGUCGAUGUACUGGUACAGAUGGCUGACGAGCAGUUAACACUGAGCA
rnacentral:snoRNA from 1 species